UACGAGGGGGGCAAGCGUUGUUCGGAAUUAUUGGGCGUAAAGAGCUCGUAGGCGGUCUGUCGCGUCGAAUGUGAAAACCCGGGGCUCAACUCCGGGCUUGCAUUCGAUACGGGCAGGCUAGAGUUCGGUAGGGGAGUCUGGAAUUCCUGGUGUAGCGGUGGAAUGCGCAGAUAUCAGGAAGAACACCCGUGGCGAAGGCGGCUCUCUGGAACGCAACUGACGCUGAGACGCGAAAGCGUGGGGAGCGAACAGG
rnacentral:rRNA from 1 species